AUUGAACGCUGGCGGCAGGCCUAACACAUGCAAGUCGAACGAGUGGCGUACGGGUGAGUAAUGUCUGGGAAACUGCCUGAUGGCGGGGGAUAACUCCUGGAACCGGUAGCUAAUACCGCAUACCAUCGGAUGUGCCCAGAUGGGAUUAGCGAGUAGGGGGGGUAAAGGCUAACCUAGGCGACGAUCCCUAGCUGGUCUGAGCGGAUGACCGGCCACACUGGAACUGAGACACGGUCCAGACUCCUACGGGAGGCAGCAGUGGGGAAUAUUGCACAAUGGGCGCAAGCCUGAUGCAGCAACGCCGCGUGUAUGAAGAAGGCCUUCGGGUUGUAAAGUACUUUCAGCGGGGAGGCGGUACCCGCAGAGGAAGCACCGGCUAACUCCGUGCCAGCAGCCGCGGUAAUAC
rnacentral:rRNA from 1 species